UGCGCGCUGCUGUGCAGGAUCAGGUUGUUGCUCUUCAGUAUGUGCCUUCCGAGUUACAGUUGGCGGAUUUCCUGACGAAGGCCCAGACUAGAGCACAACAUGGCCUUUAUCUCUCCAAACUCAGUGUUGUUCAUCCACCAUGAGUUUGAGGUGGGGUGUUAGAGUUAUAACUGCAAUGACACUUGACAAGUGUUAGAGUUAUAAUAUAAGUCAUGUACCCUUUUGUAUUUAUCCCAAUAUAUAAGGGUUCCCUGCAUAUAGUCCAUCACCUGUACAUGUAUAUAUACCGGCCUAUGGCCUCAUGGGAAUACAAGUUGCUUAUUCCUAACACAUUUAAUGCAACAAGAGGAUACAGAUCAGGAGGAUACUGCUGAGGAGAUCAUACAACAAGAACAAGAGGAAAUCAAUGAGGAGGAUGAACAGGUGAUGUUUGUUUCUGCUCAUGCUAUUGGGCAUCAGUAGUUGCCUACUACAACACCAACAGUCAUUGUGCACAUCAAUAGAAAAAGAGCAGUGGCUUUGCUGGAUUCUGGCAGUACCACUUCUUUCCUUAGCCAGGAUUUUGCUGUCAAAUGUAACUGUGACUUAAAUCCAGUUAAACCAAGAGCUAUUGCUGUUGCUGGAGGUGGCAAACUCAUGUCUACUACUGUAGCUCCAAAGUGUGCAUUUCAAUUAGCUAAGCUCAAGUUCUGCCAUGAUUUCAGGGUACUUCCACUACCUAGUCAUGAUAUGAUCUUAGGGUAUGAUUGGUUUGCCAUUGCGAGUCAUGUUGCUUUCAACAUACCAGAAAACACUUUCAGUUUCACUUUUCAAGGAAAACAAACUAUAUCCACUGCUAUAUAUAACAAUGCUGCGACAGUCAAGGAAGUGCCAGCAAAAACAACUAGUAAAAUCUUGGAAAAAGGAGCAGAAGGAUUUUGUUUCAAAUGCACAAUAUAGUUUUGGAAGCACCUAAGGGUUUCCAAACUCCUCCUCAGCAACAAAAAUUACUCAUGGAUUAUGCUGGUCUGUUUGAAGA
rnacentral:lncRNA from 1 species